CCUACGGGGAGCAGCAGUGGGGAAUAUUGGGCAAUGGGCGCAAGCCUGACCCAGCAACGCCGCGUGAAGGAAGAAGGCUUUCGGGUUGUAAACUUCUUUUGACAGGGAAGAGCAGAAGACGGUACCUGUCGAAUAAGCCACGGCUAACUACAUGCCAGCAGCCGCGGUAAUACGUAGGUGGCCAGCGUUGUCCGGAUUUACUGGGUGUAAAGGGCGUGUAGCCGGGCUGACCAGUCAGUUGUGAAAUCCGGGGGCCCAACACCCGAACUGCAUUUGAAACUGUUGGUCUUGAGUAUCGGAGAGGUAGGCGGAAUUCCUAGUGUAGCGGUGAAAUGCGUAGAUAUUAGGCGGAACACCAGUGGCGAAGGCGGCCUACUGGACGACAACUGACGGUGAUGCGCGAAAGCGUGGGUAGCAAACAGGAUUAGAUACCCCAGUAGUC
rnacentral:rRNA from 1 species